AAUGAACGUUGGCGGCGUGGAUUAGGCAUGCAAGUCGAGCGCGAACCUCGCAAGAGGUAAGAGCGGCGAAAGGGAGAGUAACGCGUGGGUAUCUACCCUCGGGACUGGGAUAGCUGCGGGAAACUGCAGGUAAUACCAGAUGACGUCCCCGGACCAAAGGUGUGAUUCCGCCUGAGGAUGAGCCCGCGUCCUAUUAGCUUGUUGGUGGGGUAAUGGCCUACCAAGGCGAUGAUGGGUACUGGGUGUGAGAGCACGACCCAGCUCACUGGGACUGAGACACUGCCCAGACACCUACGGGUGGCUGCAGUCGAGAAUCUUCGGCAAUGGGCGAAAGCCUGACCGAGCGACGCCGCGUGUGGGAUGAAGGCCUUCGGGUUGUAAACCGCUGUCAGAGGGGAGGAAUGGGCGGAGGGUAAUCUCUUCGUUUUGACCUAUCCUCAGAGGAAGUACGGGCUAAGUUCGUGCCAGCAGCCGCCGUAAGAC
rnacentral:rRNA from 1 species